rnacentral:rRNA from 1 species
UGGUGGGUUGCCUUGUCAGGUUGAUUCCGGUAACGAACGAGACCUCAGCCUGCUAAAUAGUAACACAUACCUUGGUAUGUGCUUUACUUCUUAGAGGGACUAUUGGCGUUUAGUCAAUGGAAGUGUGAGGCAAUAACA